AUUAUUGUAGUUUAAAAAACACUGGUCUUGUAAACCAAAGAUGGAGCAAACGCCUCCCUAUAAUCU
rnacentral:tRNA from 1 species